GACGAACGCUGGCGGCGUGCCUAAUACAUGCAAGUCGAGCGGACCGAACAGGAGCUUGCUCUUGUUCGGUUAGCGGCGGACGGGUGAGUAACACGUGGGUAACCUGCCCGUAAGACCGGGAUAACUCCGGGAAACCGGAGCUAAUACCGGAUAACACCGAAGACCGCAUGGUCUUUGGUUGAAAGGCGGCUUCGGCUGCCACUUACGGAUGGGCCCGCGGCGCAUUAGCUAGUUGGGGAGGUAACGGCUCCCCAAGGCGACGAUGCGUAGCCGGCCUGGGAGGGUGACCGGCCACACUGGGACUGAGACACGGCCCAGACUCCUACGGGAGGCAGCAGUAGGGAAUCUUCCGCAAUGGACGAAAGUCUGACGGAGCGACGCCGCGUGAGCGAAGAAGGUCUUCGGAUCGUAAAGCUCUGUUGUUAGGGAAGAAGAAGCGUCGUUCGAACAGGGCGGCGCGGUGACGGUACCUAACGAGAAAGCCCCGGCUAACUACGUG
rnacentral:rRNA from 1 species